rnacentral:rRNA from 1 species
CGGGUGCACUGAUCCAGCCGGGCCUUUCCCUCUGUGGAACCCCAUGGCCUUCACUGGCUGUGGUGGGGAAACAGGACUUUUACUUUGAAAAAAUUAGAGUGCUCCAGGCAGGCCUAUGCUCGAAUACAUUAGCAUGGAAUAAUAGAAUAGGACGUGUGGUUCUAUUUUGUUGGUUUCUAGGACCGCCGUAAUGAUUAAUAGGGACAGUCGGGGGCAUCAGUAUUCAAUUGUCAGAGGUGAAAUUCUUGGAUCUAUUGAAGACUAACUACUGCGAAAGCAUUUGCCAAGGAUGUUUUCAUUGAUAAGGAACGAAAGUUAGGGGAUCGAAGACGAUCAGAUACCGUCGUAGUCUUAACUAUAAACUAUGCCGACUAGGGAUCGGACGAUGUUAUUCUUUGACGCGUUCGGCACCUUUCGAGAAAUCAAAGUGCUUGGGCUCCAGGGGGAGUAUGGUCGCAAGGCUGAAACUUAAAGAAAUUGACGGAAGGGCACCACCAGGGGUGGAACCUGCGGCUUAAUUUGACUCAACACGGGGAAACUCACCAGGUCCAGACACAGUGAGGAUUGACAGAUUGAGAGCUCUUUCUUGAUUCUGUGGGUGGUGGUGCAUGGCCGUUCUUAGUUGGUGGAGUGAUUUGUCUGCUUAAUUGCGAUAACGAACGAGACCUUAACCUGCUAAAUAGCCCGUACUGCUUUGGCAGUUCGCCGGCUUCUUAGAGGGUACUAUCGG